UACAGAGGGGGCAAGCGUUGUUCGGAAUUACUGGGCGUAAAGGGCGCGUAGGUGGCCUUCUAAGUUGAACGUGAAAUCCCUGGGCUCAACCCAGGAACUGCGUCCAAGACUGGGAGGCUUGAAUCCGGGAGAGGGAUGCGGAAUUCCAGGUGUAGCGGUGAAAUGCGUAGAUAUGUGGAAGAACACCGGUGGUGAAGACGGUUUACUGGGUUGAAACUGACGCUGAGGCGCGAAAGCUAGGGGAGCAAACAGG
rnacentral:rRNA from 1 species